rnacentral:sRNA from 1 species
GAGUUACAGAUGGUUGUCACAGGGCCAGCAUGUGGGUGCUGGGAACCGAUCCCAGAUUAUUUGUAAGAGUAACGAGGCCGUUCCUUGACUUCCACAGGCUUCAGCAGCUCCUUUCUGUCUAGAGAGUGCAUUCCUUAUAUCAGACUCAGGAGGCGACACCAGAGCUCCGUGGUGUGUCUUUCUGCUAUGAAGCAGUUCUUCUCCAGAACAUACCAGCUGAGUCCUGCAGAUGCCCCCAUGUGCCUCCAGCACGUUGUGACCAGAAGCUGAGGAACGACCGAACCCAG